rnacentral:rRNA from 1 species
UUCCAGACUCCUACGGGAGGCAGCAGUGGGGGAUAUUGCACAAUGGGGGAAACCCUGAUGCAGCGACGCCGCGUGGGUGAAGAAGCGCCUCGGCGCGUAAAGCCCUGUCAGCAGGGAAGAAAAUGACGGUACCUGAAGAAGAAGCCCCGGCUAACUACGUGCCAGCAGCCGCGGUAAUACGUAGGGGGCAAGCGUUAUCCGGAUUUACUGGGUGUAAAGGGGGCGCAGACGGCGAUGCAAGCCAGGAGUGAAAGCCCGGGGCCCAACCCCCGGACUGCUUUGGAAACUGUAUAGCUGGAGUGCAGGAGAGGUAAGUGGAAUUCCUAGUGUAGCGGUGAAAUGCGUAGAUAUUAGGAGGAACACCAGUGGCGAAGGCGGCUUACUGGACUGUAACUGACGUUGAGGCUCGAAAGCGUGGGGAGCAAACAGGAUUAGAUACCCGUGUAAC